rnacentral:rRNA from 1 species
UAGCAUAUCAAUAAGCGGAGGAAAAGAAACUAACAAGGAUUCCCCUAGUAGCGGCGAGCGAAGCGGGAAGAGCUCAAAUUUAUAAUCUGGCACCUUCGGUGUCCGAGUUGUAAUCUCUAGAAAUGUUUUCCGCGUUGGACCGCACACAAGUCUGUUGGAAUACAGCGGCAUAGUGGUGAGACCCCCGUAUAUGGUGCGGACGCCCAGCGCUUUGUGAUACAUUUUCGAAGAGUCGAGUUGUUUGGGAAUGCAGCUCAAAUUGGGUGGUAAAUUCCAUCUAAAGCUAAAUAUUGGCGAGAGACCGAUAGCGAACAAGUACCGUGAGGGAAAGAUGAAAAGCACUUUGGAAAGAGAGUUAACAGUACGUGAAAUUGUUGGAAGGGAAACGCUUGAAGUCAGACUUGCUUGCUGAGCAAUCGGUUUGCAGGCCAGCAUCAGUUUUCCGGGAUGGAUAAUGGUAGAGAGAAGGUAGCAGUUUCGGCUGUGUUAUAGCUCUCUGCUGGAUACAUCUUGGGGGACUGAGGAACGCAGUGUGCCUUUGGCGGGGGUUUCGACCUCUUCACACUUAGGAUGCUGGUGGAAUGGCUUUAAACGACCCGUCUUGAAACACGGACCAAGGAGUCUAACAUGCUUGCGAGUAUUUGGGUGUCAAACCCGGAUGCGUAAUGAAAGUGAAUGGAGGUGGGAACCGCAAGGUGCACCAUCGACCGAUCUGGAUUUUUAAUGAUGGAUUUGAGUAAGAGCACGUAUGUUGGGACCCGAAAGAUGGUGAACUAUGCCUGAAUAGGGCGAAGCCAGAGGAAACUCUGGUGGAGGCUCGUAGCGGUUCUGACGUGCAAAUCGAUCGUCAAAUUUGGGUAUAGGGGCGAAAGACUAAUCG